AAAUGAGAGAGUGCAGUAUUUUACAUAUUAAUGCUUUCAUAUUGAGCUGAAUGAGAGGAUAGUAGUCUCAGCCUUAGAACAAAAGUAAAUAUUUUUUACUUCUACUUUUGAUGUUACUGUAUGCUAAGAUCACUGGGUUACGAAAUAAAACAGUUUAUUUUAGAGUUCUAUUGAUAUUUGCUAAUUAUACAUAUACUAAUGAUAGUUUAUAACAAUGUCUUUUUUUUUUUUA